UUUUUUGUGAGUCUGCCUUUCUGCCAUUAAGUUGGUGGGUUGGUGGGUUUGCAUCGUUUACUGUGAAAAAAUUAGAGUGUUUAAAGCAGGCGUUUGCUCAUUUGAAUACAUUAGCAUGGAAUAAUAAGAUACGGCCUUGGUGGUCUAUUUUGUUGGUUUGCACACCAGGGUAAUGAUUAAUAGGGACAGUUGGGGGUAUUCAUAUUUCAGCGUCAGAGGUGAAGAGACGAGAGAGAAGAACGGUCAUCUCAGCGCAGUUGCGCGAGUACUUCUGUAAGUACGCCGCUAGACCAAGGGACUUUCUUAGUCCCUUAACUUUGACUGACGGUCCAGUCGGUAAUCGCCUUGAUCUUUCCGGGAUCAGGGCGUACGCCGUGUUUGCCAAAGAUGCACCCAAG
rfam:Hyaloperonospora arabidopsidis Emoy2 Contig65.1, whole genome shotgun sequence.